rnacentral:rRNA from 1 species
GACGAACGCUGGCGGCGUGCUUAACACAUGCAAGUCGAACGGAAAGGCCUGCUUUCCCUUGUGGAUUGCGGGUACUCGAGUGGCGAACGGGUGAGUAACACGUGAGUGAUCUGCCCCCAACUUGGGUAUAAGCCUGGGAAACUGGGUCUAAUUCCCGAUAGGACUGCAGGGUGGUGCCUGUGGUGGAAAACGAUUUUCUAGUGGUUGGGGAUGAGCUCGCGGCCUAUCAGCUUGUUGGUGGGGUAAUGGCCUACCAAGGCGGCGACGGGUAGCCGGCCUGAGAGGGUGGACGGCCACAUUGGGACUGAGAUACGGCCCAGACGCCUACGGGAGGCAGCAGUGGGGAAUAUUGCACAAUGGGCGGAAGCCUGAUGCAGCGACGCCGCGGGGGGGAUGACGGCCUUCGGGUGGUAAACUCCUUUCGACCGCGAGGAAGCCACCUGGUUGGAAGGGUGGUGACGGUAGUGGUAGAAGAAGCACCGGCUAACUACGUG